rnacentral:tRNA from 5 species
GAUCCGGUAGUUCAGCUGGUUAGAAUACUUGCCUGUCACGCAAGUGGUCGCGGGUUCGAGUCCCGUCCGGAUCG